GUGCAAUGAUGAAUUAGCCAUGCUAAUACUGAGGCAUGCAACUGCAAAUUUUGUGUGUCGUUGAGUUUAACAAAAAAUCUGAGCACA
rnacentral:snoRNA from 1 species